UACGUAGGGUGCGAGCGUUAAUCGGAAUUACUGGGCGUAAAGCGUGCGCAGGCGGUUUUGUAAGACAGAGGGGAAAUCCCCGGGCUCAACCUGGGAACUGCGUUUGUGACUGCAAGACUCGAGUGCGGGAGAGGGGGGUGGAAUUCCACGUGUAGCAGUGAAAUGCGUAGAGAUGUGGAGGAACACCGAUGGCGAAGGCAGCCCCCUGGGUCGACACUGACGCUCAUGCACGAAAGCGUGGGGAGCAAACAGG
rnacentral:rRNA from 1 species